rnacentral:rRNA from 1 species
AAAUACCACCCUUUAAUGUUUGAUGUUCUAACGUUGGCCCCUGACCGGGGUUGCGGACAGUGUCUGGUGGGUAGUUUGACUGGGGCGGUCUCCUCCCAAAGCGUAACGGAGGAGCACGAAGGUUAGCUAAUCCUGGUCGGACAUCAGGAGGUUAGUGCAAUGGCAUAAGCUAGCUUGACUGCGAGCGUGACGGCGCGAGCAGGUGCGAAAGCAGGUCAUAGUGAUCCGGUGGUUCUGAAUGGAAGGGCCAUCGCUCAACGGAUAAAAGGUACUCCGGGGAUAACAGGCUGAUACCGCCCAAGAGUUCAUAUCGACGGCGGUGUUUGGCACCUCGAUGUCGGCUCAUCACAUCCUGGGGCUGAAGUAGGUCCCAAGGGUAUGGCUGUUCGCCAUUUAAAGUGGUACGCGAGCUGGGUUUAGAACGUCGUGAGACAGUUCGGUCCCUAUCUGCCGUGGGCGCUGGAGAAUUGAGGGGGGCUGCUCCUAGUACGAGAGGACCGGAGUGGACGCAUCACUGGUGUUCGGGUUGUCAUGCCAAUGGCACUGCCCGGUAGCUAAAUGCGGAAGAGAUAAGUGCUGAAAGCAUCUAAGCACGAAACUUGCCCCGAGAUGAGUUCUCCCUGAGACUAUAAGUCUCCUGAAGGAACGUUGAAGACGACGACGUUGAUAGGCCGGGUGUGUAAGCGCAGCGAUGCGUUGAGCUAACCGGUACUAAUGAACCGUGAGGCUUAACCUU